CGGGGCGGCCGCCGGCCCCCGACUGGACGGCCCCGCGCCGCGCGUCUGUCUCUGCGGAAGCUCUCCCUCCCUGCCCUCCUCCCGCCGCCCCUCCGUCCGUCUGUCCGCCGGCGGCUGGGUUCUCCGAAGGCUGCGCAAGAAACGCCGAAGGGUUCGUUCCUCCUGCCGCCUCUCCUCCGUAGCCAAGUUUAGUUCCCUUCAAGUGAUUCAUCAGUCUCCAGCUUUAGCAGUCCAGAGUUACCCAUUUAUGAUAACCAGCCAGUGUAAGGAAAAGGUGUCAUGAAGCUUCUUUACCUCUCAAAAGAGCUAAAUUCCUGAACAACGCAGAGACAUUCGUGUCACGUUUACUAGAGAUGUAUUGGGGAUCUUUAACGUUUACACUACUCCUCGGGAGAAUUGAGUUCUGUUCUAAGAUUUAGUGAGUUAAAACAUUUGUCAGUCUUGUAAGAUGCACAUCGAGAAAAACCUGCACUUUGAAAAAGAAACAGGAAAAAAAUCAACAACGUUUUUGUACACUAACGUGCCUGCUUUUGUUGAUAACUUCUUACUGUAAAAGCUUUCAGAAGUCUAUAGUGAAAAUGUUUGGUAAAUUCACUGCAGUUUAAAAUCGACGAUUAGUUCCUUUACUAAAACAGCUGAGAUGUUGCUAGGAUAUGGCAGUUACAAGGGAGUCCAAAUGUCAUACACAUUCCUUUUUGUAAACAGGUUCUGUGUUUUUAUGCGAGGCAGGAUUUCUUUUCGGUUUACACAGGUGAAGGUUUAAUUCUAUUUUGUACAACUACAUGGUUUACCUUGUAAAGAGUUCCAUUUUACCUGUUACGAUCCAUCAAUCUGGUAAGCUUGAAUAUUAAAGUUUUAUUUGAAAUAUAUAUAUUGUAAAACAGCCUUAACCGGUGCAGUGGUCACAGUUUUAAAGGGAAAAAAGGAAAAAAAAAAAAAAAGAAAAAGAAAAAAGAUAACCAUCCUGGAAGGCAUCUUCCGAAUGUGUUUUCAGAGCAGUAUUUAUACUCCUGUUAACAGAGGUUUAUUUCAUUUUAUUUUAUUUUAUUUUUCCUUUCAAAGAGGCCACUUCAAUUCCGCAGGAGGAAGGAAAAAUUCAUAAUAAUAGGAUUGUAUGCUAUUAACUCUUUCUGAGCUCGGAGGUGUGAAAAAGGCAAAGAGAGAAACUGCUAAGUGCUGUUCCUGGAUUCUGCCGUGGAGUGCCAGAGCCAAGGCGGUGUCAGAAAGUACCAGCUAAGGAAACGCAGCCGCCUCUGAUUCCAGUGAGUUUAUCCUGAGGUAAGGAGUGGAGAUGACAUUGCAGACUGCUACUCCUUCACUCACUGAGCUUUAGCUAUCUGGAAGACCCCCGCAAGCUU
ensembl:lncRNA